rnacentral:lncRNA from 1 species
AUGUGGGGCUUUGCACACGCAUGCGGCUCUGCACGUGUGAGGUUUUGCACACGCGGUGCCUUGCACACGUGUGUGUGCUGGGUCAGGGAGGGGCGCUGGGGGUUCUGUGAGCAGCUCUUGUGCAAGGGAUGGGCGUGGUGCCCCUCCCAGUCCCUCCCAGUUCCUUCCCAGUCCAUCCCAGUUUCCUCCCAGUCCCUCCCAGUUCCUCCCAGUUCCCUCCCAAUCCAUCCCAGUUCCCUCCCAUUUCAUCCCAGUCCCUCCCAGUCCAUCCCAGUUCCAGUUCCCUCCCAGUUCCCUUCCAGUCCCUCCCUGUCCAUCCCAGUCCCCUCCCAUUUCAUCCCAGUCCCUCCCAGUUGCCUCCCAGUCCACCCCAGCUCCCUCCCAGUCCCUCCCAGUUCUCUUCCAGUCCAUCCCCGUCCCUCCCAGUUCCUCCCAGUGCAAUCCCAGUCCCAUCCCAGUGCCAUCCCAGUCCCUCCCAGUUCCCUCCCAAUCCAUCCCAGUUCCCUCCCAGUCCUUCCCAGUUGCCUCCCAGUUCCUUCCAGUCCCUCCCAGUUCUCUCCCAGUUCUUCCCAGUCCCUCCCAGUCCACCCCAGUUCCCUCCCAUUUCAUCCCAAUUCCUCCCAGUCCCUCCCAGUUCUCUCCAGUCCCUCCCAGUGCCAUCCCAGUCCCUCCCAGUUGCCUCCCAGUCCCUC